rnacentral:rRNA from 1 species
GUCUUUUUGAUAAUAAUUUAAAGUCUAGCCUGCCCAAUGAGGAGUUGAAUGGCCGCGGUACUUUGACCGUGCAAAGGUAGCAUAAUCAUUAGUUUUUUAAUUGAAAGCUGGUAUGAACGGCUGGACGAGAAAAUGACUGUCUCAAUUUAAUUGAAAUUAGAAUUUUAUUUAUAAGUAAAAAAGCUUAUAUGAAUUUAAAAGACGAGAAGACCCUAUAGAAUUUUAUAAUUAGGCUUUUGUUUUAUGAUUAGAAUAGGGAGUGGAGCAGGGGCUGAGUUAUUUUGUUGGGGCGACAGAAAAAUUGAUUAAACUUUUUCUCUUUAAGUUCAUUAAUUUAUGUAUAUUUGAUCCGUUUGUUACGAUUAUAAGAUUAAAUUACCUUAGGGAUAACAGCGUAAUUUUUUUUUAGAGUUCUUAUCGAAAAAAGAGUUUGCGACCUCGAUGUUGGAUUAAAAUUAACUUUUGGUGUAGGGGCUAGAAGGUUAGGUCUGUUCGACCUUUAAAAUUUUACAUGAUCUGAGU